rnacentral:tRNA from 1 species
GAGGGUAUAGCUCAGUGGUAGAGCACGUGCUUAGGAUGUAUGAAGUCCUGGGUUCAGUCUCUGGUACCUCCA